rnacentral:rRNA from 1 species
UGGGGAAUAUUGCACAAUGGGCGCAAGCCUGAUGCAGCAACGCCGCGUGGGGGAUGACGGCCUUCGGGUUGUAAACCUCUUUUAGUAGGGAAGAAGCCUUUGGGUGACGGUACCUGCAGAAAAAGCACCGGCUAACUACGUGCCAGCAGCCGCGGUAAUACGUAGGGUGCGAGCGUUGUCCGGAAUUAUUGGGCGUAAAGAGCUCGUAGGCGGUUUGUCGCGUCUGCUGUGAAAUCCCGAGGCUCAACCUCGGGUCUGCAGUGGGUACGGGCAGACUAGAGUGCGGUAGGGGAGAAUGGAACUCCUGGUGUAGCGGUGGAAUGCGCAGAUAUCAGGAAGAACACCGAUGGCGAAGGCAGUUCUCUGGGCCGUUACUGACGCUGAGGAGCGAAAGCGUGGGGAGCGAACAGGAUUAGAUACCCCGGUAGUCC